rnacentral:piRNA from 1 species
UUUUGUUGUAACUCUUUUGAU